AGCUACUCUCAUUUUUAGAUUCGUUUUUUAGGAUUUUCUUGAUUCGGUUUCCCAAGAUCUAAUUCUUCUGAUUUGGUUUCAUAUUGAUUAGGAAGAAAAUUAGAUCCGCGAUUAGAGAGAAUCAAUUAUAUAUGGGGAUUUUUAUUCUAGUCUCUCUUCUACUAGAAGAACUUAGGGGUUUUCUGAUCAAGAGUUAUGUCGUCUAUGGCUGUCGAUGUAUUACGAAGAGGAAGAAAACGAUUAGAUCAAUCGAUAUCUGUUUCUAUAUCUAUUGGUGAUGUUUCUGGCUUCGGAGAAAAUACACACAUUAGUUGGAGCAUUUGGUGUUGGAGACUAUGCGGAUGGACGGAUGUCACAACACCAUGGUGGAAAAUGGAGGGAAUAAUAAUCGUUCUGUAAUAUCAAGCUUAAAUGCCCCACCAUUUGUACUAGUGGAGCUUUGUCGAUAACAUUAGGAACUUAGGUUCGCGCGUACUGAAAGGACACCG